rnacentral:rRNA from 1 species
CCUACGGGCGGCAGCAGUAGGGAAUCUUCCACAAUGGGCGAAAGCCUGAUGGAGCAACGCCGCGUGGGUGCAGAAGGUCUUCGGAUCGUAAAACCCUGUUGUUAGAGAAGAAAGUGCGUGAGAGUAACUGUUCACGUUUCGACGGUAUCUAACCAGAAAGCCACGGCUAACUACGUGCCAGCAGCCGCGGUAAUACGUAGGUGGCAAGCGUUAUCCGGAUUGAUUGGGAGUAAAGGGAACGCAGGCGGUCUUUUAAGUCUGAUGUGAAAGCCUUCGGCUUAACCGGAGUAGUGCAUUGGAAACUGGGAGACUUGAGUGCAGAAGAGGAGAGUGGAACUCCAUGUGUAGCGGUGAAAUGCGUAGAUAUAUGGAAGAACACCAGUGGCGAAAGCGGCUCUCUGGUCUGUAACUGACGCUGAGGUUCGAAAGCGUGGGUAGCAAACAGGAUUAGAUACCCUUGUAGUC